GUGCCCAUAGUUCAAUCGGCGGAACGUCUGACUGUGGAUCAGAAGGAUGUGGGUUCGAGCCCCACUGGGCACC
rnacentral:tRNA from 1 species